rnacentral:rRNA from 1 species
AACGAACGCUGGCGGCAGGCCUAACACAUGCAAGUCGAGCGAAGCCUUCGGGCUUAGCGGCGGACGGGUGAGUAACGCGUGGGAACGUGCCCUUUGGUACGGAAUAGCCCCGGGAAACUGGGAGUAAUACCGUAUGUGGUCGAGAGACGAAAGAUUUAUCGCCAAAGGAUCGGCCCGCGUUGGAUUAGGUAGUUGGUGGGGUAAUGGCCUACCUAGCCGACGAUCCAUAGCUGGUUUGAGAGGAUGAUCAGCCACACUGGGACUGAGACACGGCCCAGACUCCUACGGGAGGCAGCAGUGGGGAAUCAUAGACAAUGGGGGAAACCCUGAUCUAGCCAUGCCGCGUGAUCGAUGAAGGCCUUAGGGUUGUAAAGAUCUUUCAGUGGGGAAGAUAAUGACUGUACCCACAGAAGAAGCCCCGGCUAACUCCGUGCCAGCCGCCGCGGUAA